GACGAACGCUGGCGGCGUGCUUAACACAUGCAAGUCGAACGGAAAGGCCCUGCUUUUGUGGGGUGCUCGAGUGGCGAACGGGUGUGUAACACGUGAGUAACCUGCCCUUGACUUUGGGAUAACUUCAGGAAACUGCGGCUAAUACCGGAUAGGAGCUCCUGCUGCAUGGUGGGCGUUGGACAGUUUCGGCGGAUGGGGGUGGACGGGCGGCUAAUCAGCUUGUUGGUUGGGUAGUGGCUUACCCAGGGUUCGACGGGUAGCCGGCAUGGGAGGGUGACCGGGCACAUGGGUACUGAGAGACGGCCCAGACUCCUACGGGAGGCAGCAGUGGGGAAUAUUGCACAAUGGGCGGAAGCCUGAUGCAGCAACGCCGCGUGCGGGAUGACGGCCUUCGUGUUGUAAACCGCAUUCGCCUGUGACGAAGCGUGAGUGACGGUAAUGGGUAAAGAAGCACCGGCUAACUACGUG
rnacentral:rRNA from 1 species